GACGAACGCUGGCGGCGUGCUUAACACAUGCAAGUCGAGCGGUAAGGCCCUUCGGGGCACUCGAGCGCCGAACGGGUGCGUAACACGUGAGUAACCUGCCCCAGACCUUGGGAUAACCCUCGGAAACGGGGACUAAUACCGGAUACGACACAGCUUCGCAUGGGGUCUGUGUGGAAGGUAUUUCGGUCUGGGAUGGGCGCGCGGCCUAUCAGCUUGUUGGUGGGGUGAUGGCCUACCAAGGCGACGACGGGUAGCCGGCCUGAGAGGGCGACCGGCCACACUGGGACUGAGACACGGCCCAGACUCCUACGGGAGGCAGCAGUGGGGAAUAUUGCACAAUGGGCGGAAGCCUGAUGCAGCGACGCCGCGUGAGGGAUGACGGCCUUCGGGUUGUAAACCUCUUUCAGCAGGGACGAAGCGUAAGUGACGGUACCUGCAGAAGAAGCGCCGGCUAACUACGUG
rnacentral:rRNA from 1 species